rnacentral:lncRNA from 1 species
GCCCACUUAAGGGCUACUGAACUAUUUGAUGGACUAGUGGCUUACAGGUGGAUCAGCUGUGUUUUAUCUAUAUAUUGCCCCUAUGAUCUAUCUUUUUGUUAGGAGUUUUAUUUGGGUAGAUUGGGAGGAAAAAAGAAGAAGAAAAAAAAAGAAAGUGAAAGAGAAAAAAAAAGAAGAGAACAAAUAUUUAAAAAACAUUUAGGUAAAAAAUGAAAACAGAAAAGAAGCGUUAAGCACAAGAUUAGAGACACUCAAACUCUUAUUAAAUAACAACACCCACCAUCAUCCUCAAGAACUCGUCCAAACCCUAAGAAAGCCAC